UACGGGGGUGGCGAGCGUUACUCGGAUUUAUUGGGUGUAAAGGGCAGGUAGGUGGCUAUGCAAGUCGAUGGUGAAAUCCCCAGGCUUAACCUGGGAACUGCCUUCGAAACUGCAUAGCUUGAGGAUGGGAGAGGAGAACGGAAUUCCCGGUGUAAGAGUGAAAUCUGUAGAUAUCGGGAGGAACACCAGUGGCGAAGGCGGUUCUCUGGCCUAUCCCUGACACUGAGCUGCGAAAGCAUGGGGAGCAAACAGG
rnacentral:rRNA from 1 species